GACGGGGCCCGCACAAGCGGUGGAGCAUGUGGCUUAAUUCGAAGCAACGCGAAGAACCUUUACCAGGUCUUGACAUCCCGAUGCUAUUUCUAGAGAUAGAAAGUUACUUCGGUACAUCGGUGACAGGUGGUGCAUGGUUGUCGUCAGCUCGUGUCGUGAGAUGUUGGGUUAAGUCCCGCAACGAGCGCAACCCCUAUUGUUAGUUGCCAUCAUUCAGUUGGGCACUCUAGCGAGACUGCCGGUAAUAAACCGGAGGAAGGUGGGGAUGACGUCAAAUCAUCAUGCCCCUUAUGACCUGGGCUACACACGUGCUACAAUGGUUGGUACAACGAGUUGCGAGUCGGUGACGGCGAGCUAAUCUCUUAAAGCCAAUCUCAGUUCGGAUUGUAGGCUGCAACUCGCCUACAUGAAGUCGGAAUCGCUAGUAAUCGCGGAUCAGCACGCCGCGGUGAAUACGUUCCCGGGCCUU
rnacentral:rRNA from 1 species